GCCUUCGGGCAUUUGGUCAAUUUGAAACGAUACAGAGAAGAUUAGCAUGGCGUAAGUUCGAAUCUUGCAUCUAGCAAUAUGAUAGACACUAAUAGUUCUCCAGCCCUGCACUAAGGAUGACACGCUAUACAAAGAAGAAGCAAACCAUUUUU
rnacentral:snRNA from 1 species